AUUGAACGCUGGCGGCAGGCCUAACACAUGCAAGUCGAGCGGAUGAGGAAAGCUUGCUUUUCGAUUCAGCGGCGGACGGGUGAGUAAUGCCUAGGAAUCUGCCUGUUAGCGGGGGAUAACUCGGGGAAACUCGGGCUAAUACCGCAUACGUCCUACGAGAGAAAGUGGGGGAUCUUCGGACCUCACGCUAACAGAUGAGCCUGGAUCGGAUUAGCUAGUAGGUGAGGUAAUGGCUGACCUAGGCGACGAUCCGUAACUGGUCUGAGAGGAUGAUCAGUCACACUGGAACUGAGACACGGUCCAGACUCCUACGGGAGGCAGCAGUGGGGAAUAUUGGACAAUGGGCGAAAGCCUGAUCCAGCCAUGCCGCGUGUGUGAAGAAGGUCUUCGGAUUGUAAAGCACUUUAAGUUGGGAGGAAGGGUAUUCACCUAAUACGUGGGUACUUUGACGUUACCAACAGAAUAAGCACCGGCUAACUCUGUGCCAGCCGCCGCCGUAAUAC
rnacentral:rRNA from 1 species